CUAAUCUACUCUAUUUUUUAGGUGGUGAUAUGUCAAAGAAUGUAAACCCAUCUCAGCUGGCCAAACUGAACCAACAGAUGGCAAAGAUGAUGGAUCCAAGAGUUCUUCAUCAUAUGGGUGGCAUGGCAGGUUUGCAGUCAAUGAUGAGACAAUUUCAACAAGGUGCUGCUGGCAAUAUGAAAGGCAUGAUGGGAUUCAAUAAUAUGUAAAGAAGCCUUAAUACAAA